GCCAGGUGUAGUGGCGCGUACCUGUAAUCCCAGCUACUGGGAGGCUGAGGCGGAAGAAUCGCUUGAGUCCGGGGGGCGGAGGUUGCAGUGAGCCGGGAUUGUGCCACUGCACUCCAGCUUGGGCGACAGAGUGAGACUCCGUCUCAA
ensembl:misc_RNA Metazoa_SRP Metazoan signal recognition particle RNA